CCUGAGAAACCCAAAAGAUCGAAUGGGGAGAUUCAUCGUCAGCGGCUCCGGUGCGUGUGCGGUUCGGGAUUUCGCGGUGCCUAACGCCCAGUGCGCUUGGCUUCGCGGGACUCGUCCGCAUUGUUUUUUAUGCCGGAGCUCGUCGACGUGCACUUCUCCCCUAGUAGGACGUCGCGACCCGUUGGGUGUCGGUCUACGACCCGGGUGGGAGUCUGUCGUGCGUCGCGCUUCACUGUGCGUCAUGCGGCCAGACCCUCGGAUGUCCGACCGACUGCCCGGCGGUACUCGCACGGUAUCGGGCCGCAAUCUUUGAACUGCGUCCGGCCCGUCGCAAGCGAGGACAAGUGUUUCUCGGACGUACGGACCUCGCGCCGUCGCCGGGCCUGUCCAGCUGUUGGUCGACGGUGCUCUCGGACUGGCUCUUAAAUACCGGUCGGCGACGCUACUGCUUUGGGUACUUUCA
rnacentral:rRNA from 1 species